GAGUUUGAUCCUGGCUCAGGAUGAACGCCGGCGGUGUGCCUAAUACAUGCAAGUCGUACGCACUGGCCCAACUGAUUGAUGGUGCUUGCACCUGAUCGACGAUGGAUCACCAGUGAGUGGCGGACGGGUGAGUAACACGUAGGUAACCUGCCCUGUACGGGGGGAUAACAAUCAGAAAUGACUGCUAAUACCGCAUAAGACCACAGCACCGCAUGGUGCAGGGGUAAAAACUCCGGUGGUACAGGAUGGACCCGCGUCUGAUUAGCUGGUUGGUGAGGUAACGGCUCACCAAGGCGACGAUCAGUAGCCGGCUUGAGAGAGUGAACGGCCACAUUGGGACUGAGACACGGCCCAAACUCCUACGGGAGGCAGCAGUGGGGAAUAUUGCACAAUGGGGGAAACCCUGAUGCAGCAACGCCGCGUGAGUGAAGAAGUAUUUCGGUAUGUAAAGCUCUAUCAGCAGGGAAGAAAGUGACGGUACCU
rnacentral:rRNA from 1 species